rnacentral:tRNA from 1 species
CCGGUCGGUGGUGCGCGGCGCGGCGCGGGUGCCGGGGGUGUCCGCGGCGGCCCUGCGGAUGUCCUCGCCGCGGUUGCGCCCCGGGCGGCUGGUCC